ACAGCUAUAUCAUGUUGAAGCACUAGUUCUCAUCCGAUCACUGAAGUUAAGCAACAUUAAGACUGAUCAGUAUGAAGAUGGGUGACCGCUUGAGAAUACCAGGGACUGUAAG